rnacentral:rRNA from 1 species
UACGAAGGGGGCUAGCGUUGCUCGGAAUGACUGGGCGUAAAGCGCGCGCAGGCGGCAGUCUAAGUCCUCUGUGAAAUCACCCGGCUCAACUGGGUGGCUGCGGAGGAGACUGGGCAGCUUGAGGGGCCUAGAGGCCGGUGGAACUCCCGGUGUAGUGGUGAAAUGCGUAGAGAUCGGGAAGAACACCAGUGGCGAAGGCGGCCGGCUGGGGGCGCCCUGACGCUGAGGCGCGGGAGCGUGGGGAGCAAACCGG